rnacentral:tRNA from 1 species
GAAAUGCUAGUUAAAUUAUAACAAUACCUUGUCAAGGUAUAAUUAUAGGUUAAACCCCUGUGCAUCUCU